rnacentral:rRNA from 1 species
GACGAACGCUGGCGGCGUGCCUAAUACAUGCAAGUCGAGCGGACAGAAGGGAGCUUGCUCCCGGAUGUUAGCGGCGGACGGGUGAGUAACACGUGGGUAACCUGCCUGUAAGACUGGGAUAACUCCGGGAAACCGGAGCUAAUACCGGAUAGUUCCUUGAACCGCAUGGUUCAAGGAUGAAAGACGGUUUCGGCUGUCACUUACAGAUGGACCCGCGGCGCAUUAGCUAGUUGGUGAGGUAACGGCUCACCAAGGCSACGAUGCGUAGCCGACCUGAGAGGGUGAUCGGCCACACUGGGACUGAGACACGGCCCAGACUCCUACGGGAGGCAGCAGUAGGGAAUCUUCCGCAAUGGACGAAAGUCUGACGGAGCAACGCCGCGUGAGUGAUGAAGGUUUUCGGAUCGUAAAGCUCUGUUGUUAGGGAAGAACAAGUGCAAGAGUAACUGCUUGCACCU